UGAUAAUAAUUUAAGGUCUAAUCUGCUCAGUGAGGAGUUAAAUAGCCGCAGUAUUUUGACUGUGCAAAGGUAGCGUGAUAAUUAGUCUCUUAAUUAGGGACUUGUAUGAAUGAUUGGACAAGAAAAUUUCUGUCUCUUUUUAAUUUUUUGUGAAUUUUAUUUUUAAGUUAAAAUGCUUAAAUAUUUGUAAAAGACGAGAAGACCCCAUAGAGUUUUAUUUAAAUUAGUUGGGGUGACUAAAAGAUUUAAUUAACUCUUUUAAUUUAAAUCAUUGAUUUAUGAAUAUAAAGUCUAAUUUUUUUAAAUUUAAAUUAAAUUACCUUGGGGAUAACAGCGUAAUUUCUUUUUAGAGUUCUUAUCAAAUAAGAAGAUUGCGACCUCGAUGUUGGAUUAAAAUUUAUUUUAGGUGUAGAAGCUUAAAAAUUAAGUCUGUUC
rnacentral:rRNA from 1 species